GAUGAAGAACGCAGCGAAAUGCGAUACUUGGUGUGAAUUGCAGAAUCCCGUGAACCAUCGAGUCUUUGAACGCAAGUUGCGCCUCAAGCCAUUAGGUUGAGGGCACGUCUGCCUGGGCGUCACAUAUCGUUGCCUGAUGCCAGUUUCCUCGUGAUGGGUGACUGUGCAGGGCGAAUGAUGGCUUCCCGUGAGCAUUAUUGCCUCAUGGUUGGUUGAAAAUUGAGUCCUUGGUAGGGAGCGCCGUGAUAGAUGGUGGUUGAGUGACGAACGAGACCCAAUCAUGUGAGACCCCUACCGAAUUUGGCCUUCAUGACCCACAUGCGUCUUUGGAACGCUCAUGACGAGACCUCAGGUCAGGCGGGGCUACCCGCUGAGUUUAAGCAUAUCAAUAAGCGGAGGA
rnacentral:misc_RNA from 1 species